AGGUGCCUGCCACCAUGCCCGGACUCCUACAGGACAACCAGGGACAAUCAUCUUCACAGGAACCUAUCCUCCCUGCUGGGUGGAAAGAGCAUCGACCUGAGUCCAAUCAGCUACUUACAGGUCAACUAAGAAGAGGACUGAGAGUUAACCAUUGGAUUGAGCAACAUCAAGACCACCUGGAUAUUGGCCAAUGGUUUUACCCUGACCAUCUGCCCAGAGGGAUGGUAAGAGAGAAAGGCAGGACAGAAAUGAAAGGACAGUGAGAAUACACACCACUUUCAUGAAAUUUUGUUGUGAAAAGAAAGGAAGAGGCCCGGCAUGGUGGCUCACAUCUGUAAUCCCAG
rnacentral:lncRNA from 1 species